rnacentral:rRNA from 1 species
AGAUUGAACGCUGGCGGCAGGCCUAACACAUGCAAGUCGAGCGGCAGCACGGGUACUUGUACCUGGUGGCGAGCGGCGGACGGGUGAGUAAUGCCUAGGAAUCUGCCUGGUAGUGGGGGAUAACGCUCGGAAACGGACGCUAAUACCGCAUACGUCCUACGGGAGAAAGCAGGGGACCUUCGGGCCUUGCGCUAUCAGAUGAGCCUAGGUCGGAUUAGCUAGUUGGUGAGGUAAUGGCUCACCAAGGCGACGAUCCGUAACUGGUCUGAGAGGAUGAUCAGUCACACUGGAACUGAGACACGGUCCAGACUCCGUACGGGAGCAGCAGGUGGGGAAUA